rnacentral:rRNA from 1 species
UGAGGAAUAUUGGUCAAUGGGGGCAACCCUGAACCAGCCAAGUCGCGUGAAGGAUGAAGGUCUUAUGGAUUGUAAACUUCUUUUACACGGGAAUAAAGUGGGGGACGUGUCCCCCUUUGCAUGUACCGUGUGAAUAAGGAUUGGCUAACUCCGUGCCAGCAGCCGCGGUAAUACGUAGGGGGCAAGCGUUGUCCGGAUUUACUGGGUGUAAAGGGUGCUCAGGCGGAUUUGUAAGUCAGAGGUGAAAUCUUACAGCUUAACUGUGAAACUGCCUUUGAUACUGAAAGCCUAGAGUAUGGAAGAGAGUGAUGGAAUAUCUGGUGUAGCAGUGAAAUGCGUAGAUAUCAGAUAGAACACCAAUGGCGAAGGCAGUCACUUGGUCCAUUACUGACGCUAAAGCACGAAAGCGUGGGUAGCAAACA